rnacentral:lncRNA from 1 species
GCCAAAACACACAACAAUUUAUUAGUACUUUUAUUUUUUUUCUAUGACAUAGGCAUAGUAUUAUUACAAAUAUUAUUCGAAUUUUAAUGUAGAUAAAAAUUCAGCGAUCGCAUUUAUGUUGACAAUAACACACUAUUAUAUCUUUUGAUUUCUUUUACUUCUGUUUGACACCAUUUUUUUACGAGCAAUCGUCGUUUCUCCUGUUAUUAUAAUAAAACAUAACCUUAGUUUUCAUAUUUAAAAUAAAAAAAAAAUCAUUUUUUGUAAAACAUAUGUUUAGAGAGAUUUAUGCAUAUUUAUUUAUAAAUAAAACUGAAAGUAUAUAUAUCCUUUUUAUCAUUCAUUAUUCUAGGAAAAUCAUUAAAGUCAAUAAUAUAGAACUAAGCAUAUAAUCUUUGUAGGUAUAUAAAAUAAAUGGCAUAAAAUAGAAAUUUAUUUUUGAAUGAUUAUAUAAUAUAUUAAUAAAGCUGUAAAUUUAAAUACAAACCGAAUAUAAGAAUUGUGAGCAUAACGAAACUAAUAAACCAAGGUUUGAAAGCAAAUUUCAUCUUUGAUAAUGA